CCUACGGGAGGCAGCAGUGAGGAAUAUUGGUCAAUGGCCGGAAGGCUGAACCAGCCAAGCCGCGUGAAGGACGAAGGUGCCAAGCAUUUUAAACUUCUUUUGUCAAGGGACAAAAUCAGGCUCGAGAGCCUGACCGAGGGUACUUGAAGACAAAGCAUCGGCUAACUCCGUGACAGCAGCCGCGGUAAUACGGAGGAUGCGAGAGUUAUCCGGAUUAAUUGGGUUGAAGGGGUGCGUAGGCGGACCGUUAAGUAAGCGGUAAAAGCUCGGGGCUCAACCCCGGCGAGCCGUUGAAACUGGCUGUCUUGAGAUGUCGAGAGGUAUGCGGAAUGCGCAGUGUAGCGGUGAAAUGCUUAGAUAUUGCGCAGAACUCCGAUUGCGAAGGCAGCAUACCGGCGGCGAUCUGACGCUGAGGCACGAAAGCGUGGGUAUCGAACAGGAUUAGAUACCCCAGUAGUC
rnacentral:rRNA from 1 species